rnacentral:lncRNA from 1 species
AGUUGAUUGCAUUAGCAGUAUAUACUAAAAGAAAGAUUGUGUAUUCUAUUUUACCACUCACAAGGCAAGCUGAAAGCAAUCUGUUUACUCUUACAAACAGUCUUCAGGAAAAAUUGUUCUUUGAGUUUUCCAGCAAAACCCAGGCUCUGGACUGUUAAAUUUUUAUUUCAAAUUCAUACACUGAUAUAUUGUGUAAUAAAUUUUAUUCCUGCAUGCAUGUUGCUGCUAUGAAAAGCCAUCAAUCCCAGAUGUAAUUAUCAUCGCAAGGACACAUAUUGUAAACCAAGCCCAUAGGAGCAAAGUUACUAAAAUAGUACAUUAUUGAGAGUCUUGAUCAGCAACAACUGAAGAAAGGUCCCACACCACCUAUAAAAACUGCUUUUCUAAAACCUUAGAUGACAAAGCUUUCAGUGAAGUUAUAUUCUUCUAUGUAUGCUCUCUCUGUGUCUAUCUAUCUAUCUAUCUAUCUAUCUAUCUAUCUAUCUAUCUAUCUGUCUAUCUACCUAUCACCUAUCAAUCAUCUAUCUAUCUUCUAAAUAUCUAUUUAAGGUUUUUGAGACUAAACCUCCCUGAAGAGCGCACUGAUCUGAAACUGGUAGUCUUUCUUCCCUAGUCUCUGGAGCACAAGGGUGAAAGGUUUGAGACAUUAUGCCUGUGAAUAUACUUUAUUAUUAGAAUAGCAUCAAGGACUGAAGAAAGGCUCAUUGUGUGAGAACAUUUCACAUACAAGCAAAAGACAUGAUAACUGAAUCAAUAAAAAAAAGGGGAAAGGAAGGGAAGGGAAGGGAAGGGAAGGGAAGGGAAGGGAAGGGAAGGGAAGGGAAGGGAAGGGAAGGGAAAAGAGAAAGGGAAAGGGAAAGGGAAGGGAAGG